rnacentral:rRNA from 1 species
UCUCCUGGAAACGGGUGGUAACGCCGGAUGCUCCGCCCCCUCGCAUGGGGGGGUCGGGAAGGCUUUUGCGGAAUGGGAUGGGGUCGCGUCCUAUCAGCUUGUUGGCGGGGCGACGGCCCACCAAGGCUUCGACGGGUAGCCGGCCUGAGAGGGCGACCGGCCACAUUGGGACUGAGAUACGGCCCAGACUCCUACGGGAGGCAGCAGUGGGGAAUACUGCACAAUGGGGGGAACCCUGAUGCAGCGACGCCGCGUGCGGGAUGGAGGCCUUCGGGUCGUGAACCGCUUUUGAUUGGGAGCAAGCGUGAGUGAGUGUACCUUUCGAAUAAGCACCGGCUAACUACGUGCCAGCAGCCGCGGUAAUACGUAGGGUGCAAGCGUUGUCCGGAAUCAUUGGGCGUAAAGGGCUCGUAGGCGGUUCGUCGCGUCCGGUGUGAAAGCCCAUCGCUUAACGGUGGGUCUGCGCCGGGUACGGGCGGGCUUGAGUGCGGCAGGGGAGGCUGGAAUUCCCGGUGUAACGGUGGAAUGUGUAGAUAUCGGGAAGAACACC